CUGGUGUAGGCCUCUGUGAAGCCUGAACUCCAGUAGGGCCCAAGCCAGCCAGGAAGGAGGAGGCAGCCAGAGAGGCCUCCACUGUUCUCUGCAGCAGAAGACCCUCUGCUGCCAGCAACAUGAACUUCAGCUCACAGACUAUAUCCAUCCCUUUGGUCACCGUUUCAGUUCUUGCAACGGAGUUCUGCACAAUCGGUCUGGAACAGAAGAUGGAAAGAAAGAACAAUUCUCUUCCACUUUGCAAGAGAUACAGUGCUUGGUGGCUUGGAUCCCAUUUUCCCUCAGCACAGGCCACCAGGCAAGCGUCUAUUUACAAGGCUGUUAAUACUGCAUUGUCCAGAGAUUUAUUCAUCCAGAUGCUCCACAGCCUCAUACCCACUGCAUCCUCUUUCUCACAUAAAGCAUCUGCUCCUUUGGCCCAUCUUGCAACACCAGACACUUCAUGUUAUCCAAGCCCUGGAUUGUCACAGGAUUUUGAUUCAUUUCUUCCAAGCCCUUUGUCCAAAAGAUGUACUGCAUGCAUAUCUAUUGAAAUGUGUGUAGGAAAAAUAAAUGCAAAUUACCUGUGGGGCCUCUGC